AAUCAGCCAUUUUUCUCGUACCCACUCCACUCGAGUUGAUUUUCUCGUGAUAUCGCUCGGCAAAAGUGAACAAUUUCUGGUGUUAAUUCUGUGCAAAAUACCAUCAAGAUGGCAACAACAGAAGGACAAACGACGGGGCAGCCAAAUCUGCAUAAACAGGACUUAGCCCAACUGGACAUCACAAAACUCACUCCAUUGUCUCCGGAGGUGAUUUCCCGACAGGCUACAAUUAAUAUUGGAACAAUUGGACAUGUAGCCCAUGGCAAAUCGACAGUGGUUAAGGCAAUCUCAGGAGUGCAGACUGUUCGGUUCAAGAAUGAACUUGAGAGGAAUAUCACAAUCAAAUUGGAGCGCAUAUCCAAUGAUACGAUCAAAGAAUUGACCACAUCAUCACAGAAAUUGCGGGCUUUCCUUAAGGAAAAUUACCCAGAAUGCUUGAAUGGGCGACAACAUGCCAAGAGACGCAGAUCGAGCAGUGUAAGUAGUAGUUCAUCAUCAGCCAAAAGGGUGAGGUACAACAGUAGCAAUUCCUCCCCAUAUUCCGUUGUUUCAAAAGCACACCGUGGUGUACUUAAGGAAAUCAAUGCCAGAAAGUCAUCGUAUACGGUGGAAGCGAUAAGGGAGAUAAAUGCUAUUGGCAAGAGCCCAGUGUUCAAUGUUAAAUGGGUUGGGUACAGUGAGAAGAAGAAUACAUGGGAGCCACUUGAACAUGUGAAAUCUUGUGCGGUGUUUGAAGAAUGGCUGGAGCAUGAAUUGGCGGAGAAUAAGGAGACAAUUGAGGAGAUUAUGAGGGAGAUUGAGACGAGUACUGAUGAACUGGAAGGUUUGGAAGAUCCAAAGACACGUACAAAAGUGAAUGAUACAAUGAUGGUUAAACUGUCAAAAUACGAUGGAUUUCUACUGGAUAGCUACCUUCUCCUCUUGGCACUUCAUCGGAUUACCGGUACGAGGAAUGCCAAGUUGACAAGGCAUAUGCAAAGUACAGCUAGGAAGCAGCUGGAACUGAGAAAGCUCCAUAGGGAUCGUCAGGAGCAACUAAAGGCGCUGGGAGAAUGGGAAGCAGAACUCAAUCGAAUUGACAAGUUUGGGGGAAUUAUGGUGGUCAAUGAAGUGGAUCUGGAGAUGCCACCGACAAAUUUUCACUAUAUCAACAAGAGUUUUGCCGGUGCCAAUAUCGAUAUCCCGGAUGAUCCUCUAAUUGGAUGCGAAUGUGAGGAUGGAUGCAAUGGACGAACACAGUGCUGUGGCAAGAUGUCCGGAUCCUCGCUGUUUGCCUACACCAAAAAACGCCUCAGACUGCCCGAAGGGACUCCAAUCUACGAAUGCAACCGAAGAUGCAAAUGUGGCGAAGAAUGCCCAAAUCGUGUGGCACAGAAUGGCAGAAAAUUCCGCCUGUGCAUCUUCAAAACUGAUAACGGACGCGGUUGGGGUGUCAGGACACUGGAAACAAUCUAUCCGGGACAAUUUAUUGGGGAAUAUGUGGGAGAGAUUAUUACCCAUGAUGAAGCUGAAACCCGUGGGCAGUUGUAUGAUGAAAGGGGUGUUACUUAUCUCUUCGAUUUGGACUUCAAUGGAGCCGAUCAACCCUAUUCGGUGGAUGCCAUUGAAUAUGGCAAUGCUACGCACUUCAUCAAUCACUCUUGUGAUCCAAAUUGCGGUGUCUGGGCCGUAUACGUGGAUUGUCUGGAUCCAAAUAUCCCUCAUUUGUGCCUCUUUGCCCUGAGACGCAUCGCAGCUGGGGAAGAACUCAGCUUUGACUACAUCAAAGGAGUUUCCGGGGAGGGUAAACAACUCGGAAGAUGCCUCUGUGGUACAGAGAAAUGCCGUCAAUUCGUCUUCUAGGAAAAAAAAAAACUGAAGAAGUGUUCAAAAAUCAAUUUCUAUAAAAAUAAUUGUGAAUGUUAGAAGAAGAAAACAUUAGUGUAAAUGUCCUAAUUCAAAACCAUUUCCAGACGCUUUAUCUUUGACAGAAGAUUCAUAUUUUUUCUAAAGAGAAUUACAUAAAUUUGCUCCUUGACUCUUCUAGAAUGCUACUGUUUAGUGAAAAUUCUUCAAAUAUAAUCUGAAAACUUCUUAAAUACAAGAAAAAUACGCGAGUGUAAAAUGCUUCUAUUGGAAACAAAUUAAUUCAAAUGGAGACAAGGGAAAUUUUCUAAUUGGAGACCAAUAAGUGUCAGUGAAACCGCGACGAAAAGCUUCCAAAACCUUGUUGAGUUGCUCCUGAGCGCAGAAUUUGUUCUUAUUCCUGGUCUUUUCGCUUUAUUUGGAGCAAAAUUAACUAAAUAUUGAAACUGUGGUAUAAAAAAUAUAAAAAUAUAGUAAUUCAGUACUGUAUUUAUUACGAAAACAGUAAGGUUUCCAUUUGGAAUAGCGAAAAAUUUCCAUUUGGAGCAGGUUUUGAAUUAGCUUAAUUUACCCUACACAUGUCUAGGAAUAUUUGAAGUUUUUUUUUUUAAUUUUGAAAAUAAAGUACAUUGAUGCCCAUUAUUUUGGCAAAAAAAAACCUAUGAGCAGUAAAAAAUUAAAUUUUGGUCAAUAAAAAACUUAAAUCUCAAAAAAUGGUUUAAUUUUCAAUAAUAUCCAAGAUGGUUACAGGAAAAAUUAAAAAAAAAAACUUGUUUCCUUCAUGAUGAUUUCACUGCAGACCAAUUUUAGCUUUUUACUGCUCAUUAAUACAGUGCCUAUUAUUAAAUAUUUGGCCUACCAAAAUUAUUUCAUUAUUUUAAAAAAUAUAAUAAAUCUGAAAUAAUAAUCGAAUUAAGAAAUAUGUUAUUUUUAAUACAGAAUCCCAGUCGAAAUAAAAUUUUCAAUAUAAA